rnacentral:lncRNA from 1 species
GUUCUUUGUUCAGCCAUGUUAUAAUAAUUAAACUCAAAAUCACAAUCAAACAAAUUAUGAGAGAACAUAAAACCAGAAUCAUUAUCACUAACGGGUGCACUAGUAGUCAUGCAUCAUGAGUCAACAAUGUAACAAAUAUGAAAAAUACCAACAAUAUCCAUAUUGAGAAAAACAAUUGAAAAAAUGUAAAAUGAUUAAAAUAAAAUAAAAAAAUGGAAAUAUCACUAAAAAUCAAAUAAAAUCAAAAUACGACUCUACAAUUUUUUUUUAGAUUUUUACAAAAAUAUGAA